rnacentral:rRNA from 1 species
UACGUAGGGUGCGAGCGUUAAUCGGAAUUACUGGGCGUAAAGGGUGCGCAGGCGGUCCUGCAAGUCAGACGUGAAAUCCCCGGGCUUAACCUGGGAAUGGCACUUGAAACUACGGGACUGGAGUAUGGCAGAGGGAGGUGGAAUUCCACGUGUAGCGGUGAAAUGCGUAGAGAUGUGGAGGAACACCGAUGGCGAAGGCAGCCUCCUGGGCCAAUACUGACGCUCAUGCACGAAAGCGUGGGGAGCAAACAGG